GUAGGGAAUAUUGGGCAAUGGAUGCAAGUCUGACCCAGCCAUCCCGCGUGCCGGAAGAAGGCCCUCAGGGUUGUAAACGGCUUUUGACGGUGAAGAAUCGACAGGAUGCGUCCUGUUUUGACGGUAGCCGUUGAAUAAGCACCGGCUAACUCCGUGCCAGCAGCCGCGGUAAUACGGAGGGUGCGAGCGUUGUCCGGAUUUAUUGGGUUUAAAGGGUGCGUAGGCUGGAAGGUCAGUCAGCGGUGAAAAGCUAUCGCUUAACGAUAGUCUUGCCGCAGAUACUUCCUUUCUUGGAUGAGGAGGAGGCCACUGGAACGGAUGGUGUAGCGGUGAAAUGCAUAGAUAUCAUCCAGAACACCGAUUGCGAAGGCAGGUGGCUGUACCUUAAUCGACGCUGAUGCACGAAAGCAUGGGGAGCAAACAGGAUUAGAAACCCGUGUAGUCC
rnacentral:rRNA from 1 species